AAUCAACGCUGGCGGCGUGCCUAACACAUGCAAGUCGAACGCGAAAGCCCCGCAAGGGGCAAGUAGAGUGGCAAACGGGUGAGUAACACGUGGGUGACCUGCCUUCGAGCGGGGGAUAACAUCCCGAAAGGGACGCUAAUACCGCAUAACAUCCUGCCUUUGAAGAGGUGGAGAUCAAAGCUGGGGAUCGCAAGACCCGGCACUUGAAGAGGGGCCCGCGCCUGAUUAGCUAGUUGGUGGGGUAAUGGCCUACCAAGGCAACGAUCAGUAUCCGGCCUGAGAGGGCGGACGGACACACUGGGACUGAGACACGGCCCAGACUCCUACGGGAGGCAGCAGUGGGGAAUUGUUCGCAAUGGGCGCAAGCCUGACGACGCAACGCCGCGUGGAGGAUGAAGAUUUUCGGAUCGUAAACUCCUGUCGAAUGGGACGAAUAGAUUGCGGGUUAACAGCCCGUGGUCCUGACGGUACCGUUAAAGGAAACCCCGGCUAACUCCGUGCCAGCAGCCGCAGUAACAC
rnacentral:rRNA from 1 species